CUGCCUGGGGUCAUGUGCCUACCCGAAGUCCGAUUCCGAUUGUGGCUUUGGAUGUGCCGAAGCGGGUGAAAGUCCCGUACGGGUAGGUGGUUCAUGGCUCUUGGAUGUGUGCGCUUUCGAGUCGGAUUGCUUGUGAAUGCAGUCCAAAGUGGGUGGUAAACUCCAUCCAAGGCUAAAUACUGGUUCGAGUCCGAUAGUAAACAAGUACCGUGAGGGAAAGUUGAAAAGUACUCUGAAGAGAGAGUAAAUAGUACGUGAAGCCGAUUGCAGGGAAGCUGGUGGAGUCAAGCUUCAUGCUGGAGGAUUUGUCAUCGAGAGUGGAUUGUGAUUCUGGCGCGUGGUUGUCAAUUUGGAAAGGGUUGAGUGGCCUCGGUUGCUCCAAGUCGUUCCGGGUUGGAUGAUUGGACGGUAUCGCGUUGUCUGGCUCUCGAUGAUUUAGUCUUCAUGGCAUAAAUCACGGUCGAUGGUUGUGUACCGUGUGGCUGUCUAACUGUUCUCUGGCAGGCGCAAGCUUGCCGAGGGCAGUAUGGGAGGUGUCGCUUGCGCC
rnacentral:rRNA from 1 species